UGAAGAAAUUUUUCCUAAUAUGCAGUCUAAACCUCCCCUAGUGCAGAGUGAGGCUGUUACCUCUUGUCCUAUUGCUUGUUAGUGGGGAGAAGAGACCUACUCCUACCUCUCUUCCUUUCAGGUAGUUGUAGAGAGCAAUAAGGUCUGCCCUGAGCUUUCUCUUCUCCAUUACUCUGAAGACAACAGAUUUAGCAUGCUUUCUUCAUUUAUAAACCAUACACAGGCACUCAUGCUUAUGCAUGGGGUAUUUCAGUAUCUGUGCUGCUCCUUAAAGACACUGUUGUGUUAGGAAAAGUAUCAUCAAAGUCAGAUUGGACAGAGCUCUGAGCAACCAGAUGUCAUUGAAGAUGGCCUGCUCAUUGUAGGCGGGGUUGGACUGGUUGACCUUUAAAGGUCCCUUCCAACACAGACCAUCCUGUGAUCAUGCUUCAGUGAGGAGCUAACUGAAGUGUUUUGGGGUUUCUGAAGUCAGCUGAGAAAUAGAAGGUUGUGUCAGUUAAACAUCACACAUUGUAAUAACACUUACGGGAAAAAAAAAAAAAAAAAAGACCUUAAAGCUUCAUUUCUGCUUAAUUGAAUUGUAUCAAAAAAGUGUGUGUGUUUAUAUAUGUUGGUAAUUUAUAACAUUCUGGUUGGUUCUGCUGUAAUAUGGCUACUGAAUUAUCAUAUAUUCCUUAAUAAAUUGCUAUUCAGUUUUGUUGUUGAAUGAUUUAACUUUGAACCACGGACACUUUGAGUUUUAUGAAAUAUAAAUAUGAGUUAGGAUUCUCUGUCUUUGUCUUUUCAAG